GUGCCAGCCGCCGCGGUAAUACAUACGGGUCAAGCCUUGUCCGCAUUUAUUGGGCGUAAAGAGCUCGUAGGCGGUUCAACAAGUCGGUCGUAAAAGUUUAGGGCUCAACCCUAAAAUGUCGAUCGAUACUGUUGUGACUAGGAUACGGUAGAGGUGAAUGGAAUUCCGAGUGUAGCGGUGAAAUGCGUAGAUAUUCGGAGGAACACCAAUUGCGAAGGCAGUUCACUGGACCGUGAUUCCGAUUAACGCGGAGGGAGGAAGGCGUGGGUGGAGAACAGGAUUAGCUA
rnacentral:rRNA from 1 species